AGAAAGUCUAAAGAAUGUGAAAAUGAAUCCUCCGCCAAGAAUCGAACCUUCGGAAGAAGAAUUCCGUCUUGAGGAAUACGAUCCAGGGGUAAAAUACUCUAAUUUGUUCAUUAUAGCUACAUGCAAACGACAUUUCUAUUACCGCGCAUGAUUCACUAUAUUACUUAAAAAGAAGAAAUAUACAAAUGAACUUAUUGCAUAUACUAUAAAGAUUAAUCUCAUAGCGUGACAUCUCCAAAAUGUAGUAUUUUUUUCCAAAAGUAAAUUUUUAUGGUUAGGUCCUAAGAUAUAAUGCGCUAAGAUGCAUCUGUAGUGUAGUACAUGGCCAAUUCACAAAACCUGGGCAGCCAAAUCAUUUUUCGAUACGGGUGUAAUAAUAGCCCUGUCGAAUUAACCAUCUUUCCCUUGGUUUUCUCCCAGAAGAGCGCUUAUAUACUAAUCUUCCCAAAAUAUAUUUACCUACAUAUGUUGAAUUAAUAUAUAAUUUCAAACAUGAUAUAAACCAGUAAGCAACAAAUGAAUAUAACUAUUUUCUUGGUUAUUAUGAACCAUUUAUCAUUUGGAUACGAAACAACCAUCUACAGUUCGUUAACAUACGGAAACUCAAAUUAGUGUGCAAACAGAUCACCUUGGUUUAGUCCCAAAUUACAUUCCACUACAUUUUUCAUGUUCUAAAAAGGUACUGUAUAUUUCACAACUUUCACCUGAUCUUACAUUCUAAAAUUCUAGAAUGCCCGAAUCAAGCGUGGCCAUGCGGGUCAUAAUCUGAGAACCUCGCGGAAACAGUGUUCCCGAUUGAUAUUAAAAUAAAAAAUGGAGAUUCCAGAUUAUUAAAUGGGAAAUACAUUAUAUGGAUUCAUGCAUGGCAUCGACUUCACGAAACAUUGGCUGCAUAAAGAAUAUUGAAUGCAGACGAUAACAUCAUUCUCGCUUCGACUUCUGACCACAAAGCUUUGAAUAUUUAACAAUUAUUCGCCGAAGGCGAAGUGAUUACCGGUGAAUAUUCACCGAGACGAAGUCGAGGUGAAUAUUCACCGUAAUCACUGAGCCUGAGGCGAAUAAUUGUUUUAGUAUAAAUUUUUAAUGAAUAAAACAAAAUAUCCAAAUAUCAGUUCAAUUAAAUUUCAGAAAUAAAACUGUUUUCGGCCUGUUCACUAAUAGUGUUGCAGUGUUUCUUGUACGCACACGCUUUCAAAAUGGCUUCUUGUGUGACUUUAUUGCUUUAUUACAAAGUUGUUUUUCUCGAUUUCGGCUUGGAAUAUAAACACAAUAACGGAAUGACUCUUUCACCAGACUUAGAAUUAAAAAUAGCUUCUGUUUAGCAUUAAUUUCUUCAGGAAAUGGCUGAGGAAUUUGGUAAAAUGAAAUGUAAAACUAUAUCGUUCGAAAAAAAGUUUUAAUAACACUUUUUACUUUACAAGUUUCGAAAACACAAUACAGCGGUCAGAACACCUUACAGCACAAUGAAAACAUGACAUAUCUAAAGAAAUAUUAUCGUACAAAUAGGGAAAUUGAUAGGAUAUAAAACAAAAUUGUUUUAGAAAGAAUAUCACAGCUUUUCCCAACAGUCGGGUAGCCGGUUUCGCAAAUUGUUUGAAGCGAAUGUUUUAAAUAAGUUUUAAAUUGUCCGUGAAUAUGUUUGACACAGUAAAAUAAUAAAGAAAUCCUACCUUUCAAGCUAAAUACAACAUUUUGUGCUUUUUUCGUUUUCUGGGACGAUUUUUUUCAAUAUUUUGUCGAUUUUCAAACCAAAUUUGCCGGAUCGUUCUUUUUGAAAAGCAUUAUUUACUAGUCUGCUAGUAAAUAAUGCCUCAGAUUUACUAGUCAACUAGCCAAUCAGAACGCGCGAAAGCUCAUUUGGUAUGCAAAAUUUAUACUAAAAAGCAAUAUUCAAUAAUCCGAAUCAAAAUCCCCGGCUCGCAUUGAACGCUGCAUGUUGCGACUGCAACCAUAUAAUUUUCUUAUAAAUUGCAAGCAAGAAUACCCUGGUUCCAGUGGUUCUUGUGCCGCCGUAUAGUUGCACGAAGGAACGGCGGAAGGGAACCUCUGGUGGCACACAAUGCGAAUCUCACUUCCAUGCUGAGUUGCCGUUUGAGAAUUUGCAAACCGAUUUUAUAUUUUGUGACGUAUUUAAACUUCCUGCAGGUUUGUCAUACUACCAAAAUAGCUCUCUUUGACUGUUUGCCGUGUGUGGCGACAGCCUUGUGUAAAAUAUCAGUUAAAAAUAAGCAGCCUAAACAACUCUUUAGAAACAAAUAGAUUGUUCUCGCAACAUACAGCUAUUGGUAUUGUAUAGUUGUUAUUGUAGAGUUACAUAGCAAAAGCAAUCUUAAUUGUUAAAUUUGUGGAAUGCCGUUUGUAUUACUAUAGCGAACGUACAAAUCCAAAAGUCGAAAGUGAAAGAAUAAUAUUUAUAUCUACCGGGUGUCCCAAAAAAAGUACUCCGGUUUGAUUAUAAUAACCUCUAAACAGGUAAAGCUAUCAAACAAAAAUAACUUGCAUUAAAUAGAGGAAGGACUAACUUAGAUUCUGAUAUAUUACAGUUGUAUUUUACUUAACAAUUCACGGAGAUAUUAAUGUUCAAAAUCGGGAGCAUGAUAUUUUGGGAAGUGUCUAAAAUUAGCGAAAAUCGGAAUAUCAAAUAUUAACUCCAGCGUUUGUUUGCUUAAUGACAUAUCAGGCUAACUUGUAUUUCAGCGAAUUGUCGUUAGGGUUUGUAAGGGAUAUGGCGUUGAUUUAGACAUCUUACAUGUAAGUCUUGGCUCAUUGUUUCCUGAAAUAUGAACGUUCGAAAUUAUGCAAGUAUUUAAUAGGUCUUCACAAACUUAAAGAUAUAUGAAAGACCAUGCAAGGCAGGCGCUUAAAUUUUUCUUACCCAUAGCCUAAUUGUCUUAUGUUUUUCAUGGGUUCAAAAUAGAGUUGAUUAUUUCUCGGUUAGAGCAGGAUGAAUAUCAUUCUUUAAUGAAGGAAAUAAUAUCGCUUUUUGCAAAUACACAUCACAGUAUCAACGCUACUAUUUUGCUACGUUUUGUUCCAAAAAUUUUGAUGUCUCUGGGGAGUCGCUUGUUAUGUCUUAUGGAGUUGUAUGGUUUGAUUGUGUUUCAUUCUCAGUUUAUUCUGAACUUGCCCAGAUUAAGAAAAGGCAAAAGAGUUUAGGUGUUCUUAACAAGAUUUCAGAACGUUGCAGAAGUUAGAAGAGCUUCACAAUUCCAUUGUGACAGCAUGCCCUAAUUCAGAACUACGAACGAUCCAUGACGAUCCUUCGCGACGCAGUGGUUUCAUGAAAUAAGGAAACGUAUUCGUGCUAGGAACACACGCGGAUUUGGGACGAAUAAAUCUUGCUUGUAUUUUGUAGAUAAUAAUACUUUGUUUCAUAAUAAACAAUUUGUCAAGUGUCAUUUAUUUACUCGUAUUAGUGCAUGUUUCAGUCGGGCAAAUCUUGAUUAAUAUUUGAUACGCCCUUUUUUGCAUAUUUCAGACACAUCCCGAAAUAUACUCCCGAUUUUAAACAUUAAUUAUCUCGAUGAAUUGUAAGUGAAAUACAACUGUGACAUAUCAAAAUCUAAAUUAUUCCUUCCUCUAUUUGAUGCAUGUUAGUUCUCUUUAAAAGCUUUAUUUGUUUAGAAGUUACUACGAAUCAAACCGGAGUACUUUCUUUUGGGACACCUGGUAUAAUAUAUGUGCAACGGAGGAUACGGUUGUAUGUCCUUAAACGACAACGCGAAAAUAGUGGCAAAAUAAACCGUAUUACCAACUAUUAAAGUCAAAGAAUUACCCUUACAUUUUACAACUGGAAAUACAUGCAUGCAACGACCCCUCGCCUAUAUUUUCCAAACAUUGUUUCAACAUGAAGUAUUCGUAAUUAUGCCAACACUGAACGUAGGCUCGCGUUGUAAACCUGCAAAAAAUAAAUGAAACUUGAACACUUUAAAGGUGAUCUACAGUCCGUAUGUAAACAAAGCCUUUGUUUACAUUUUUGUGUCCAAAAUAUUGAGCUUUAUUCGACAACUAUUUAUAUUUUCAAGCUUCUAGAGUAAAAUAAGUUAUCAAGAAACAACAAUCAGGCUUUUCAAGAACUCAAAACAUAGCUAAACUGUUUGUAUCAUAAAAAGUGGGCUCAUUUGUGCACAUGCGCAGAUCGGACUGUAGAUCACCUACCGAACUAUAUACUAUAUUUUUUUCAUUAUUCUAUAGAUACAGAACUAUCAAUUUGUAAAAUAUAUAAAGUAGAUAUAUUAUUUUGCUUUAUGCGGGCUUUAUUUUAAUGUAAAAUUCAAAACGAAACUCUAUGUAAAACGUUUUUAAAUGUGAAUUGAAAUUAACUGCUUGUUGCCGAUAUAAAACUCUUCAACUCGAGCUUCAACUUAUUACUCGCACUUUGAAAUGAAAUAAAUUUAAUUCGUACAGGACGCUUAUGGACAAAAUUUGCUUUCUUUUUUAUCAUGAACUUCUACAAAAGUUAAUUUAACUAAGAAACUUUCGCAUACAAUGCAUAGGAAAGACUAGAUUUAAUCUAUAUUUAUUUAAUAAUGCAAAGUGACACAUAAACAAUUGAAACAAACUUGCCCUAUACUUUAGGAUUUCUCAUACUAAAUCAAUUCUCAUAAAUGUUUACGUUUAUAUGAAAAAAGUUUUAAAAUUUGUUAUGUAAAACGAUUUUCCAAGCUUACUUACAUGUAUAUUUUAUUUUUUUGCCUUCUUCAAUCCGGGCAAACAGCCAUAUUUUGAGAUCAGUCAUGACCACACCCAACACCCAACACCCAACAGUAGUGAUAGACCCCACUCUGGUGACCAAAGGAAUGCCGCCAAUGACGUCAUGUUGCUCCGAAAGUAAUUAGUAUGCAAAAUCUAUGACGUCACUCGGGCAAGCCUGGGCCAAAGGUGCCAGGUAGCGCGACCAAUUAACGCGGGCAGGCCUGGGCCAACUGUGACAGGUAGCGCGACCAAACACACAUGUAUUUUGAUUGUUUUUUCGGGUGAUUAAAACAUGCUCUUGCGAUAGCUCAGUUGGUAGAGCGGAGGACUGUAGUUCCUUAGGUCGUUGGUUCAAGCCCAACUCGCAAGAUUUAAAAACAGGAGUUCUUUUUCGCGGGAAAAUGUAUAUGUAGCUCGGAGCCUAAUUCAAAAUAACCGCAAACUUUGAAAGCCAAAAGCUUAGAGCUUCGUCUAAAUAGCUCACGGAGCCUGGUUCGCGGAGCCGGUCCGUUCGAAGCAUAGUCUUUAGUUGACAACGUUUAGUUCAUGUCUACACGGUAAAGUUACUGCCUCUUCGACUAUGAAAAAUGGUACAUUUUGAUUCUGUGGGGAAAAAACUUUUAAAACAGUUGUAAUAUAUUUUGUCAUAAAAACAUGUAGUCGUUAUAUACGUUGUUAUGUGUUGCUAAGUCAUUAGCGGCGCUUGGGUGCAUGCAUAUAUUAAUGUACGACAUAGUUGUACUCAGGCGGGCGGGUUGCGCGGAUAGGAAAGAUCGGGCUUUGCGAGCAAACAUUUACACAAGAUUUCAGUUUUAAAAUUGCAUUUAUUUCUUCAAAACGUUUUACAAAAUUUAGUACGAUUUACUUCUCAGAGCAUAACGUCUAUAGGUGUUUUUGUUAUUGUUAAAGAGUUCUCAUAUUCUUGUCUAUCUUCAGGUGAUAAUCGUGCAACAUCUUCAUGCUUCAUUGGAAUAUAUUUUGGUCUUUCGUUUAGUAAAAAACGUUCAUAACGCUCUCUUUCCUUCGGUUUCAUCAUAGCCAGAUCACUUUCUUUCCAAUCAGCAGAAUCUACCCAAUUGUGAAAAAAGUUGUGCUUGAGUUUUGGUCGUUCCUCUUCUGUUGGUGGCGGUGUAAGGACAUUAGGUUUAGGAGUAGCAGGUAUUGGUGAUGGUAUUUCCGUUGGUACAGAAAUAGGAGGCACUUGUGGUGGUAUCUCUGCAGGCAUUAACGGUGAUGUUUGAACUGGGGCUUGAGCCGGGACAUCCAUCUUAUUUUUGAAUGUCAGAGACCGGUUUAGCUGAUCAGAAUAUAACUUGCUUUUUUCCACUGCGCUCAGCUGUGGCGCUUCUAUGAUUUCUUUCAUUCUCUGUUCGGCAUCAUACAUUGCAUUUAAUUGUGGUGGUUGUUGAUACGACUGUUUUUGUAUAAACUUUGCAAUCUCGCCGGGAAGUACGUUGGUCUUGAGUCGUUGUAGGUCGUCUGUUGUUGGCUUUAAAUCCAACAUCAAGUAUCCGUGAGGUCGGCUCGUGGCAUCAUCAUAACUCUUCAUAAAUUCUUGUACUUUACCAGGAUCUACCUGCCUUGCAAGCAUAGAAAUUUGCUGUUUAUCUCUUGGUGACUUGAACAACACGAUAUAAUGAGCAUCAAGGUUGAUAUUUCUCAUUUCUUUGCCUUGAUGAAAUAUAUUUUGGACAAUAUAGAUGAUGGACAAAUUACGGUGAUGGCUUCCUUUGUUAAAAAGAUCAGCAAUACGUUUGUCUUUACUAGAUUGUGCCAUGAGAUCGUCCAGUACGAUCAAAUUCCGUUGCGAUACAUCCAAGUAGUCGGUGUUGUCAAUGACUUUUGGAAUGCCUUUAUUAAACUCGAUUGCAGGAAUCGCCCUCAGCAUAUCAAAAUAGGAGGGUUGCCAUUGACCAUAACACCAGAUAAUACGUUGAGGAGCAGGACUUAUUAUCGUCUGAGCAUUCUCCAAGAGAGAUUUUGCCCAUACAGUUUUGCCACUUUGUGUACACCCCGCUACGAUGCACGUAAAGGGAUGCUGCAUAACACUGGACCUAUUGCCAAUUACACUUAACCUUCUUUCAUCUGUACUGGUGCUAUGCAUCUCUUUUUUGUGACGUGAACGGUUACCAGGUGUUGAAAACGGUCUUCCACAGACUUCGCAGGGAUAAGACAUGUUUACAGGUUCACAAUCAAAUGUAAAAUGAAUUCGAAGUUUGUGUACCGUUCCAUAAAUAGUAUUAUGUGGUCAAACCAACAUAAAUAAUCCUAUGAUAUUCCAAGAUGCUGUAUGAUAUCCUAAGAUAUUGAUAUCCUAAGAUGUUGAUAUCCUAAAAUACUAUAUGAUGUCCUAAGAUAUUGAUAUCCUAAGAUAUUAAUAUCCUAAGUUAGUAUAAUUUCAGUAGUAAAAAAUGGAUUUCGAGCAAUUUGAUUGGUUAACUGAGUAGUAAAUCUGAGGCAUUAUUUACUACCUGAGUAGUAAAUAAUGCUUCAAAAUGGCUUCCCACAGUCGUUUUGCAGAAAUUUCUGUUGAGGAAAUUGAACAAAUAAAGGACAGUGCAAUUCCACAAAACACAAAACUAGCAACAAAAUAUGGGAUUAAACUUUUCAAAGGUAAGGAGUGUUUUUGUAAUUAAUUUAUUAACAAUUUGUUUCACAAUUUACAACUGGCAGUAAAAAAAGAGCGACCGGGAAAAUUACUUGUCUUUUUUAACUAUUUUCUACACCAGAAUGGUUCUCAGACCAAAACGAGUUCACAACCGAGUUCGAGAACAUGGACAUUGAUGACCUGAAUCAAUGUCUAUCAAAAUUCUACAUGUCUGCUAGAAAAAAAGAUGGUUCUUACUACAAAAAGGCAACCUUAAUGUCAUUGCGAGCUGCGUUGGAUCGCCAUCUUCGCUCACCACCAUAUAACAAAAAAUUCUCAAUUUGUGACCCGGUCGCCUUUCAAGAAGCAAAUAAAACAUUGCAUUCCUACCUGAAACACCUCAUGAGCACUGGAAAAAUUGCUGGAAUUCGAACUGUCCACAAAAAUCCCUUGACACCUGAAGCGGUACAACUCCUUUUCAAGAAAGGCGAACUUGCUUGCGCUGAAACCCGUGAUCCUCGCUGUUUAAUGCAAACAGUUUGGUUCUACAUUUCCUUGUAUUUUGGAAAACGAGGUCGUGAAAACCAGAGGGCAAUGAAGAAAUCGAUGCUACGUCUUUGUACAACAGGAACUGGAGAAGAGUACUUUGAGCUCAAUAAAGAUGAACCCGGGACGAUGCUUUCAAGCAAAAAUCACACUGGCGGUCUCGAAGGCACGGAAGACCACUCGGACGGGAAGGUCUUCGCUCUCACAAAAUCGCCAAGAUGUCCAGUAAAUACCAUCAAAGCGUAUUUAAGUCACUUAAAUCCCGACAUUGACGUGUUGUUCCAGCGACCAAGACAUCCUUCUUCCAGGUUCAACCCAAACGAAGCCAUACUUUGGUACGAGAAAAAAGUACUCGGCCAUAACAUGCUCAACAACAUGAUGCGAAAUAUGUCACAAAGAGCUGGAAUAUCGCCUUACUAUACCAACCAUUCGCUGCGAGCCACCACCGUUACUGUUUUAUCGUCCAACAACGUUGAGACACGAAAGAUUAAAGCCGUAACUGGUCACAGAAGCGAUACAAGUAUCGAAAGUUAUUGCGCCAGACCAACUCUAAGCCAGUUUAAGCAGAUGUCGUCGACGCUGAGUUCGUUUGUUCAUGGCGAAGAAAAUACAGCAGCCACUUCAUCUUCGUCAAUCAUCCCAACUCCAGUUGCCCCUCGUCAACAUCCAGCAGAAAGCAGUGCAACAGUCGCAAACAGUACUGUAACCUUUGGCAGAAAUGAGGCAAAUAUCGUAUCCUUCAAGCACAUGGUGUGAGGUGUCCUGAAUCAAUUCUUCCAUCAGGUACUUUCCAGGGAUGUUCAUUCACAUUUAACAUCAAUAUGAACAACAACUAACUUUUCUGGAACGUAUUACAUUGUUAGAUUUUUAUUGUGCAUGAUCCUUGUUGUAAAUAUAUAACGUUUUCAGCGUCUUAGCCUCAUUGUUGUUGUGAAGUGUCAAACGAACUUGCCGAACUGCUUUAGAAUUCAGAUCAUGUGUCAUGUGAUCGAUCAUUACGUUUUUAAAAAGGAAGUAAAUUAUAUUCAUAACGGAAGCACAUAUUAAUUAUUUGAUUAAUUUUGUGAAAGAAAUUAUACUAAAACAAUUAUUUACCUCAGUCUCGAUGAUUAUCGGUGAAUAUUUACCUUGCCGCUUCGCGGCGCGGUAAAUAUUCACCGAUAAUCAUCUCGACUUCGGUAAAUAAUUGUUAAAUAUUGAUAUCCUAAGAUAUUGUAUGAUAUCCUAAGACACUGGAUGAUAUCCUAAGAUAUUGAUAUCCUAAGAUAUUGAUAUCCUAAAAUACUGAUAUCCUAAGAUAUUGAUAUCCUAAGAUAUUGAUAUCCUAAGAUAUUGUAUGAUAUCGUAAGAUACUGAUAUCCUAGGAUACUGAUAUCCUAAGAUAUUGAUAUCCUAAGAUACUGAUAUCCUAAGAUAUUGAUAUCCUAAGAUAUUAAUAUCCUAAGAUAUUUAUAUCCUAAGAUAUUGAUGUCCUAAGAUAUUGAUAUCCUGAGAUAUUGAUAUCCUAAGAUAAUGAUAUCCUAAUAUAUUGAUAUCCUAAGAUACUGAUAUCCUAAGAUAUUGAUAUCCUAAGAUAUUGAUAUCCUAAGAUAUUGAUAUCCUAAUUAAGAUAUUGAUAUCCUAAGAUGUUGUAUGAUAUCCUAAGACACUGAUAUCCUAAGAUAUUGAUAUCCUAAGAUACUGAUAUCCUAAGAUAUUGAUAUCCUAAGAUAUUGAUAUCCUAAGAUACUGAUAUCCUGAGAUAUUGAUAUCCUAAGAUACUAUUUUCGUUAAUCCCCGAGCCGACGGCGCGAAGCGCCGUGCGAGGGUACUAAUUCCCCCCGGCUAUUUACACCCGGGGAAACGAAAGCAUUAGCGGAGUCUAAAGUUCAUCAAUUAUCGCGGGCGUGGGUCACCAACGAAGUUUCGGUGGGUGGUCAUUCUCACUGAUCUCAUAAUAUAGCGGACUGUCAUGAAUAGCCAACACUGAUUGGUCCAAUUUAAAAUUUGCAUUAUAACGACUGCAUGACGACAGCGAAAUAGCAAACAUUUCUUGAUUUGGUCACAGAUGAGGUAAUUACAGAUAUGAAUCUCAAGGCAAAUCGUGUCACACGGAUUAAAUAAACUUUAAAAUUGUAUUAAUUCACUAUUUUAUUAAAUUUUGAUAAUGCAGAGGAAUAAAACUAUACAUAUUAUAGAAGUAUUCAUGCUUUUUUUUUAUGCGAGAGUUAUGUUUUGAGGAAUUUAUAUCAUUCGCUGUUUUGUUAUUAUACACGAGCAUCUGAAAUUCCCAGCAAGUGUAUUUCACGAUUUUAAUAAGGAGUAGAUAGGGAAAAAAACAAACUUUUGCUAAAUAAAAUGUUAUGUUAACACUUUUAAUAAAAAGAAAUCAAUAAAAGUGAUCGCUUACCGUUACUCUUGAAGAAUUAAUUCCAAAAAGAGCCGUCGGUCGCGUAUAUUUUUUAAAAAAACAAUUUUUCGUCUUUCGAACGGCGUUUUCCUAUCUCUUUCCUUAUUAAAUUUCAGAACGACACUUGCCAGCGCUCGCCGGAAGUGAGAAUUCCGUGUGACACAAAACAAUCAGCAAUUUGACAGAAGAUUCAUAUCUGUAUUUACCUCAUCUGUGAUUUGGUGAUUGAUAAAUUUCUUGCAAAUAUAUUUCAUUUUGCUUGCAUUUUUGCAAGAUUUUGUAAAUUUCAAAAGCUCUCUGAGGAAGAAACUGCGAAAGAAUCGGCUAAAAGAAGGGAGACGACGUUAACGAAGCCGAAGGUAAAUUUGUUUUAAAUAUUGAUUUUAUAUAAAUGGAUUUAAAACCCGACGGCCUUUGGCUUUGCAUAUAUGAAACAACUAAACAAAACAGCAUAUAAUUUCAGUGUAUCUUUAAUAUUGAUUCCUUUCUUAUGAUAUUGAAUUUUUUAAAUAAAAAAGAAAGCAAAGUUAUUUGCAAACUCAAAGUUUAUCGAUAAAGCCAUUUUAAAAGGCAGUUUAGUUUUAUAACACUAUAGUGACUUUGAAAAUGUUUUGGAAGCGUUUGUGGUUGAAUUUUACCUUAAAUUGAGGCUUAUAUUACGUAUAAUAACAUGCCUAACAUAUAUGUUGGGAAAUUAAUAAUUUUGUAAUUAAAAGUGAUAUUUUUAGGCGAUUUUUCAUUUGUAUUAAGAAUAUUCUUAAAAAAUUAUCGUGUUACCAUGACAACUACUUUCGAUACUUCAUGUUCGGAAAAUACAAUGGUUUUGUCAGCAAGGCGAGGGUUUCUGCAUGCAUGUAUUUUCUAGUAUAUAAAUAUGUUAUUUCCAGCUAGAUCUUCAUUUCGUCGCUGACCGCCGAACAGAGAUGACUAGCAGCUAUAUCAAACACAGACCGUUUGUGGAGCUCUUGUGUAUUUCUCAUCCAAUUCAACAGCAAGCUCUGUUGAAUUCAGCAUCUCAUGAACAGAUUCGCUUUCUUUGUAAUUGCUUGGAAAACUUUACAUAUCCUAAAGCAAUAUUGAACAAACUUGGACCAUUUAAAGACGAUCUCGCUGACUUAGCGGACAGAAGUAGGAGCUUUAGAAAGAAAAGGAAAAUUCUUGUUCAGCGCGGGAGUGGUUUUCUAGGAUUGGUACCUGCCCCACUUUUACAAGGCCUUGAAGAAUUAGUAUAAAAUAAUCAUCAUUAGUUGACAUUGUCAUUCCAACCAUGGACAGCAAGGAAAGGUCAUCUCCGAGACAUUGGCGUGUUGAAGAUAUACUUGGACACUUAAACGAUGAUGUUGAUAAAAACAAUGCGGAAGAACUUCUUCACUGCAUUCUCACAUCCACGGAUAUUCUCACAUGGAAUCUUCAAGGAGAAAUUGUAUACAAAGGACAGAAUAUACGUGUAACAAAUAUUGUAGAUCUUUUGCAAUAUACUGUUUUACCAUAUAAUACUGAAAUUCCUGAACCGGCUGGACUGAGUAUAUUUCUCAAAGGUCUUGCAAAAUUGGAAAUUGAUAAAAGCCUAAUCGUAAAUGGGCGUGUCCUUACCAUGCUAGCCCAUAAGUGGUCCUACCAGGAUAGACAGUCUGAUAAAUCCGAAGAUGAGUCUGAAGACAUGGACACAGUUUGUAACGGUUGUAACAAAGAUCUAGACAUCUCCCAUUUGGCCACAUGUCCUAUAUGCACAUGGACAGACUUUUAUCCAAAAUGUAUGAGGUGUCACUGUACGACCUGUGAUUUUCGACUGUCCGAAGGAAAUUUCGCGCAUGUAAUCGCCUGUUGCCAACAUUGUCAUUGUGACGAAAUUAUGGAUGUUAGUACGGAUAAAAGACUUUUUUACCAUAAAAUAGGCGAACAAAGUGAUAUGUGAUCAGUUUACUGUGUGAAUUUGAACUGAACACAUCAACAUGGCGAGGGGUACGCUUGUUGUAGACACAAAACUAUUGAAAAACCAUUUCUUGAGACAGCAGCGUGGUGGGAAUAUCGCUGGGUUUUAUGGUGCACAUAUGCAAAGGGGAUAUGGGAUCGGAAGCAUUUUCAAGAGCCUUGCAAGAUAUGCUAUCCCUCUAUUCAAACAAGGAGCUAAUGUUGUUGGCAAAAGAGCAUUACAAGCAGCCACAGAAGUUGGUCAAGAUGUACGUCAAGGAAAAAAUGUAAGAGAAUCUGUAAAGGCUCACAGAGGGAAAGUUGUUAAAGACUUUGUUGAGCAAGGAGCAAGGACUCUUCUGCGUCAAACAGGACAUGGAAGCAAAAGAAGGCGAAGUCAACGCAGCAAUCUAUCAUCAGUCAAGAAGCAAAAACUGGAAGAAGAUCCAAGACGUCCCAAAUGGAUUAGGAAAGAUGAAAGCGACUGCGAUGAUGAAAGCAGCCACGACGAUGAAUCUGAAAGCGAAAUAUCUCAAACAAGUGACGAUUAGAAGCAUAAAAAUAACAAAAACACCUAAACGUUAUGCUCUGAGAAGUAGACCGUACUAAAUUUUGUGAAACGUUUUGAAGAAAUAAAUGCAAUUUUAAAACUGAAAUCUUGUGUAAAUGUUUGCCCGCAAAGCCCGAUCUUUCCUAUCCGCGCAACCCGCCCGCCUGAGUACAACUAUGUCGUACAUUAAUAUAUGCAUGCACCCAAGCGCCGCUAAUGACUUAGCAACACAUAACAACGUAUAUAAAGACUACAUGUUUUAUGACAAAAUAUAUUACAACUGUUUUAAAAGUUUUUUCCCCACAGAAUCAAAAUGUACCAUUUUUCAUAGUCGAAGAGGCAGUAACUUUACCGUGUAGACAUGAACUAAACGUUGUCAACUAGAGACUAUGCUUCGAACGGACCGGCUCCGCGAACCAGGCUCCGUGAGCUAUUUAGACUAAGCUCUAAGCUUUUGGCUUUCAAAGUUUCCGGUUAUUUUGAAUUAGGCUCCGAGCUACAUAUACAUUUUCCCGCGAAAAAGAACUCCUGUUUUUAAAUCUUGCGAGUUGGGCUUGAACCAACGACCUAAGGAACUACAGUCCUCCGCUCUACCAACUGAGCUAUCGCAAGAGCAUGUUUUAAUCACCCGAAAAAACAAUCAAAAUACAUGUGUGUUUGGUCGCGCUACCUGUCACAGUUAGCCCAGGCCUGCCCGCGUUAAUUGGUCGCGUUGCCGGCCACAUUUGGCCCAGGCUUGACCGCGUUAAUUGGUCGCACUACCUGGCACCUUUGGCCCAGGCUUGCCCGAGUGACGUCAUAGAUUUUGCAGACUAAUUACUUUCGGAGCAACGUGACGUCAUUGGCGGCAUUCCUUUGGUCUCCAGAGUGGGGUCUAUCACUACUCCCAACCACGCACGGUAACCCACGCCCGCGAUCAUUGACGAACUUUUGACUUCGCUAAUGCUUUCCUUUCCCCGUGUGUAAAUAGCCGGGCGGAAUUAGUACCCUCGCCCCAGGCCUACGCCCGGAACAGCUCUCCUCGCCGUUGGCUCGGGGAAUAUUAAUAGAGUGAACAUGUCAUGCCGUCAACUCAGGACAUGCCGCGAUGGCAGCUCUUCUCCAGCGCAGAAAAUCUUUUUAAGUCAGUGAGUUCAUAUCUCAGAGGUUCCUAGCGAAACAAAUUAAGUUAAUUAAUCUCAAAUAUUACCCGCACUAUAAAGUAGAGCAUUUUAAUACGUUCGUAUUAUUCGUUGUAUUUUGUUCGUAUUAUUUCUGUAUUUCUGCAUUUUGUCUCUGAGAUUUAUAAACAUGCUUUUUUGUUCAGCCAAUCACAUCACUUCAUGUGACUGCUAAUUAUAACUAACCAAUCAUGUGCUUGGUACAAUUUUUUACCAAAGGAAGUGAUAUUUAUAUCGCGUGUCACCAGAGGUUCUCUUCGCCUCGCGUGAAUAGAUACGAGCGAGAAUAGGACGGAAGAUAUGAGAACCUCUGGCAACCAGGGUAAAGCAAGAAUCACAAUUGAAGAAAGCUAGAGUCGUAGACAACUACGUAAACUUCAUUGUCAACCAUACGUAGAGUACCAAAGUCAAUUAGUCUUCAGGAAAUCAAAGAUGUUACCUUUUGUGACAUACCUUUGAUAAAAGUUCGGAGAAAUGGGACGAGAACGAUGCGGAACUAAAAGUGUAUAGAUUGUCCGCUAAAGAAUUAACAGUGACCCACACGGAGAUCUGGCUGCAUGUAAAACUUUUCAACUGAUUGGCCUACCAGACAAAACAAUUUUACUACGACUUUUUGAUUUGUUAAAAUGCUAAUUAUAUUAUAAUAUUAUUGUUCAUGAUGAAUUCUACAGUUUUAGCCGUCAAAUUAACUAUAAAUACAUAUAUGCAGAAACCUGUCGCUUUGUCAGCAAAACCAUUAUAUUUUCCAAACAUGAAGCAUCUGAAAUUAUUGUAACGUAAUCACGAUCAUUUUAUGCUUUUUAUAGUUUUUAAAUUGAAAAAAAAAAGUUCGAAAUGAGCACUUUUAAUUUGUUCAAUUAUGAAUUUCCCAAAUAUAUAGCUACGAAAGGUAUAGGCGUAAUAUGAACUUCAAUUAAAUGUUUUGUAUUCUCUGAAACUCAUCGCUUUGUCUUAGCUUUAUUCUCUAGUUUAUAGAGUUAGCUACCUUUUUAAAUGCAUCUGCCGGUUGAGAAACAUAAAAUAAUAGUUGAAAAUUGUCAAUUAAAAUACAAUUAUCAAUGAUGCUUUAAAAUUGACGCCAUAUUUACAGCCAUAUAAGCAAAACUUACUGAACUUCAGACAUCAUUUUCUCUUUGGCGUAUCAUCUAAAAUAUCUUCAUUUUAGCAUUAUUUUACAGAUAAAGUACUAAACAUACUUUUUAAGUUUGCUUGCCGAUUGAGAAACGUAUCGAAAAAUAAAAAUUUUGAAUUUAGUCAUAAACUCAAGCGAUAUGUCAUACGCAUUAGUUUUGGGCGCGUGUUACGUGACACACAAGAAAAUAUUCUUUUAAAAACACAACAAAUUUUCCAUCUAUUAUCUCAAAAUAUGAUUACAACUUUUAAAUUUUGUGCGCGAGCCAUUUUUAGUUUGUUGUAAAAGACACCCCCCCCCCCCCCGGUUCAAAAAUUUGAGUUUGAGAAAUUUUUUUCAUUUUUUUCAUUAUUCUACAUUAUGAGUACCCAAAGAAGCUAUAUAUAUACAAAACCGGAUACAAAUAUGUGUUUUGCGAAAUUGAGAGCAAUUUCAAAUCUGUUCAGUUUUUUUUUAUAUACACCCUGUAGUGUCUGGGUGUUUGGUGUGCACCAAUUUCUUCAUUGAAAAAUGUAUAACUUUCCAUUUGUUUACAUCUUAUGACUUCGCCCAUUUUUCGCUGCAAUGUUUGCAAUUACAGAGACAAUCAACAUAUUUUUUAGUCGUCCGUGUAGAGUGCGAUUGGUGAAUUAUCUUCAGUAUAGGCUGGUAGAUAAGGAAAGAGAAGGGGCCCAAGGAUAAACCCUGAAGUACACCUGAUGUAACAGGAAGUCAUGCAGUCAGAAGACUGUCUGUCGAUGACUACUCUUUGUUGUCUCUCCAAUAAAUAACUACGGAACCCGGAAAGGGUGGAACCAGAAAUACCGCACGAUUCAAGUAUUAACAAUAACAGAUUGCGUGAUACAGGAUCGAACCUCUUUCCAACGUCAACGACAAUGUACUAGACGACAGGUCAAUAUCAAUAAAUUAAAUUUGCAUUACAGUUUUUGAAUAAAAUAUAGUUUCAAAACUGAAACUUUUAUUAAUUAAAGAAAACGUACUAUAAAUAACAUAUAGAAUAGUUGUAAAGGUCGGUAUAGGGAAAUCAAUAAUUUUGAAGAUUAUAAAUUUGGCUGGGUAUGAUAAACAAUAUAUCAUGUACGCUGUUUUAAUAAUCGUUUUAAAUACAGUUUUUAAGCUUUUUGUUGUUUGUUGAUGUAUUAGCAUUUUGUUUACACGUACCGAGAAACAACUUCUGCUGCAUAAAAAGGGACAAAUACAACACCAGCCUUUCCAACCUAUUAUUGGCUGAAAUGGUAGGACGAAGACGCUGAGUUUGUUUGGGUUUUAUCAUUUGAUUUUAGUAAAGCCUCAAUUUGAUUCGGUCCCGCAUGAUAUCGUAACCGAAAAACCUAAAAAAACAAACCUAAAUACUUAUAUGAUCAAUUGGUUUGUAAGUUUUUUGACCAAUCGAAAACGAAGACAGAAUCGUAACAGAAUAAUUUAUGUAGAUAUUAACAAAGGAGUUGCACAGGGAACCGUCAUUGACCCGUUUCUAUUCUCUCUUAUGGUUGAUGACAUAAAACCCAAACAACCUGUAUUGGUUAAAGUUGCUGAUGACAUGACCGUUAGUGCACCAGUAAAGUCAAAUAGUGAUUUUGCAACAACGGAAAUGAGAAACAGAAUGACUUUAAAUUUAUCAAAAAUAUGGGAGAUGCUUCUGAGUGGUGGAACUUCUAAGCCCCUACCAGUGCCAAAAAAGGUAUUGAACGUAAGAAAUGGUUAAAAUUGGUGUUACUUUCGAGGACGGUGUGUGCUGCAGGGACCUACAAGUUGAUGGCUUGUUGUCGAAGGCUGGAAGUCCAACGUAUAUUCUAAGAGUAGGCCUAUGUGAAAUGUAUGGAUAGCGACAGGAGCAUCUCAGCUAUCUUUUUGACUCAAUUAUAUUAUCGUUAUUUUUUCUACGGUAUUGGAAAAUUGGAAAAAACUCGAAAUUGUGUGAAAACACUCCGCCCUUCGGGCGUUGUGUUUCCACACAACUUCUCGUUUUCCCAUUUCCCACUCGUGUUGAUAUAACCGUAUAUCAACUCGGAAAAUGUUUCAUAUUUGUUAAUUAUUUGAUAAUUAUUUGAUAAUAUUGUAAAUAGAGUAAAUAGUAAUAUAGUAUAUUUUAGAAUUAAUAACUAGAAUCAUGUAAAGACGUUUGUUGCGUCUAUAAGGAUUAUUUAAAUAAAUAUUAUUAUUAUUAUUAUUGUUCUUAAAAAAUACAACUAAAAAAUAAGUUAAAUUAUAAAAAUUAAAAUAAAUUAUAUAAUAAUAUUAAUUUUUUUUUAAUAUUCUUUAGAUUGGUCCACAUGACGAUGUCUAUCCGUUUUCACAUCUGGAUAUUUUAGGUAAAAGCUAAAAUUUUUUAUUUCUUUAAAUAAGACGAUGUUACUGUGUGCCCACGCCGAACAAGCUGAAAGGUUUGCUUUCCACGCGGUGUAGUCUAGGACCUGUAAAGAUGUUUGUAUGCAUUUAAUUUAGCACAGGUAAUCUCAACUGUUUCAGGGUAAAAUUACCAUGGCGGUCAACAUGGCAUAUGUGCCAAAACCUGAAUCUGGGGCGAAAGUCCUGAAAAUGACCCCGCCCUGAAACGGCAGGGCCGACAUAGC
rnacentral:lncRNA from 1 species